CCCUUACACACCCAGUGGCUACGUCCCUGCACACAAGGGACACAAAACUACUCAGGAGUUACCAUUGCAUAAUUAAUAUUUAAUACAUCUCUCGAUUUUAGGUUUAUAUUUACAUGUUUGGAAUGUUCGUUAUAUUAAUAAUUGAAUUAUUAACACUAAUAACUAUGAAAUAUUAAUAAAUUUUAGAAAUAGGAAAUAAAGUUAAAUUUUGUUUGAACAAAUUAAUAUCAGAGAUGCAAAUCAAGGGAGUCUCUGUUACACAAACUAGCGCCCAAGAUUUUCCUGAUAUGUCACACUCUGUAUCCAUUUCAGUAGCUUCACUAUGAUCCGCAUUACUGACCCGUUUGUGACCUAGUAU